ensembl:lncRNA
CAUGUAGCAGUCAGGUAGCAUGUAGCAGUCAGGUAGCAGACAGAUGGCAGUCAGGGUCUGUCAGGUGGCAGUCAGGUGGCAGUCAGGUAGCAGUCAGGUAGCAGUCAGGUAGCAGUCAGGUGGCAGUCAGGUGGCAGUCAGGUAGCAGUCAGGUGGCAGUCAGGUAGCAGUCAGGUGGCAGUCAGGUGGCAGUCAGGUAGAAGUCAGAUAGCAGUCAGGUAGCAGUCAGGUGGCAGUCAAGUAGCAGUCAGGUGGCAGUCAGGUAGCAGUCAGGUGUCAGUCAGGUAGCAGCCAGGUGGCAGUCAAGUAGCAGUCAGGUGGCAGUCAGGUAGCAGUCAGGUAGAAGGAGGGGUGGAUUCCAU